AGUGAACGCUGGCGGUAGGCCUAACACAUGCAAGUCGAACGGCAGCACAGUAAGAGCUUGCUCUUACGGGUGGCGAGUGGCGGACGGGUGGGGAAUACAUCGGAAUCUACUUUUUCGUGGGGGAUAACGUAGGGAAACUUACGCUAAUACCGCAUACGACCUACGGGUGAAAGCAGGGGAUCUUCGGACCUUGCGCGAUUGAAUGAGCCGAUGUCGGAUUAGCUAGUUGGCGGGGUAAAGGCCCACCAAGGCGACGAUCCGUAGCUGGUCUGAGAGGAUGAUCAGCCACACUGGAACUGAGACACGGUCCAGACUCCUACGGGAGGCAGCAGUGGGGAAUAUUAGACAAUGGGCGCAAUCCUGAUCCAGCCAUACCGCGUGGGUGAAGAAGGCCUUCGGGUUGUAAAGCCCUUUUGUUGGGAAAGAAAAGCAGCAGGUUAAUACCCCGCUGUUCUGACGGUACCCAAAGAAUAAGCACCGGCUAACUUCGUG
rnacentral:rRNA from 1 species